rnacentral:rRNA from 1 species
CAGAGGUCUCAACCGUUGUUCGGAUUCAUUGGGCGUAAAGGGUGCGUAGGCGGCGGAGUAAGUCAGGUGUGAAAUCUCGGGCUCAACCCCGAAACUGCACUUGAUACUGCUUCGCUCGAGUACUGGAGAGGAGACUGGAAUUUACGGUGUAGCAGUGAAAUGCGUAGAUAUCGUAAGGAAGACCAGUGGCGAAGGCGAGUCUCUGGACAGUUACUGACGCUGAGGCACGAAGGCCAGGGGAGCAAACGGGAUUAGAUACCCCGGUAGUCCUGGCAGUAAACGGUGCACGUUUGGUGUGGGAGGAUUCGACCCCUUCCGUGCCGGAGCUAACGCGUUAAACGUGCCGCCUGGGAAGUACGGUCGCAAGAUUA